UACGUAGGGUGCAAGCGUUGUCCGGAAUUAUUGGGCGUAAAGAGCUCGUAGGCGGUUUGUCGCGUCGGCUGUGAAAAACUCGAGGCUCAACUUCGAGCUGUCGGUGGAAACUUUCUGGCUAGAGUCCGGAAGAGGAGAAUGGAAUUCCUGGUGUAGCGGUGAAAUGCGCAGAUAUCAGGAAGAACACCCGUGGCGAAGGCGGUUCUCUGGGACGGUACUGACGCUGAGACGCGAAAGCGUGGGGAGCGAACAGG
rnacentral:rRNA from 1 species